UCCGCGAUAGCUCAGUUGGUAGAGCAAGUGACUGUUAAUCACUGGGUCCCUGGUUCGAGUUCCAGGUACGUGGAGCCA
rnacentral:tRNA from 1 species